rnacentral:rRNA from 1 species
GCUUACGGCCAUACCAGCCUGGGUACGCCCGAUCUCGUCUGAUCUCGGAAGCUAAGCAUGGUCGGGCCUGGUUAGUACUUGGAUGGGAGACCGCCUGGGAAUACCAGGUGCUGUAAGCA